CAAAAGAAACCCUGGACUUCGGUGCCGUCCCGGUACUGUCCCCUGGAGGCGGCAGGCGGCGGCGGUAGAGCGGAGGGAGAGUGAGAGAGAAUGCCGGUGGGUCACGGCCUUCGUUCUCGCACCAGGGACCUCUUCUCCCGGCCCUUACGGAAGAAAGGGUACAUCCCCCUUCCGACGUACCUGCGUACCUACAGGAUCGGCGACUAGGUCGAGAUUAAGGUCAACGGCGCCGUACACAAGGGCAUGCCGCACAAGUUCUACUACGGUCGCACCGGCAAGUUCUGGAACGUCACCAAGCGCGCCGUCGGCGUCGUGGUCAACAAGCAGGGUACAGUUGUGUGGAUCGACCAAUUCCAGAUCAUGCAAUGGCUGGGGCCUUAUGAACUGUCCUGCUUACUCUGGUAGUGUUGGCUUUCACUUCAUGCCAAUUGACGGUGGGGCAAAAUUUUCUACUUCCAGGUCGGCAACCGGAUCAUCAAGAAAAGGAUCCAUGUCCGCAUGGAGCAUGUGCAGUCGUCCAGGUGCCAGGGAAGAUUUUCGCUCGAGGUUGAAAAAGAAUGACCAAUUGAAGGCCGAGGCAAAGGCACGCGGCGUGGUCAUCAGCACCAAACUGUAACGGACAAACUUCUAAACAAGAUGUUGGAUGUAAUGCUUAUGUCUGUCCGUUGUCUUUUGGCAUGUUCAUGCCUUGUAUAGUAGGUAGAGGGGCGGCCGAAGGCUUAUAAGUCUCAUUUUAGUUGGGUUGGUGGUCUCUUUAGGCUUGUAAAUAAAGGUUGUGUCAUGUGGACACGUUCGAGAGCUUUUCGGUCUGUAAUGGACCAUUUUACCCUUUGUUGUGCAACUAUUCAGAGCUUGUAAAGUCUGUUUGUAAUUUGCAUUGUCUAUGAAGUGUUUUUCGGACA